rnacentral:rRNA from 2 species
GAGUAACACGUGGGCAACCUGCCCUGCAGACUGGGAUAACUCCGGGAAACCGGAGCUAAUACCGGGUAAUACAUCGCACCGCAUGGUGCAAUGUUGAAAGUUGGCUUUCUGAGCUAACACUGCAGGAUGGGCCCGCGGCGCAUUAGCUAGUUGGUAAGGUAAUGGCUUACCAAGGCAACGAUGCGUAGCCGACCUGAGAGGGUGAUCGGCCACACUGGGACUGAGACACGGCCCAGACUCCUACGGGAGGCAGCAGUAGGGAAUCUUCCGCAAUGGACGAAAGUCUGACGGAGCAACGCCGCGUGAGUGACGAAGGCCUUCGGGUCGUAAAGCUCUGUUGUUAGGGAAGAACAAGUACCGUUCGAAUAGGGCGGUACCUUGACGGUACCUAACCAGAAAGCCACGGCUAACUACGUGCCAGCAGCCGCGGUAAUACGUAGGUGGCAAGCGUUGUCCGGAAUUAUUGGGCGUAAAGCGCGCGCAGGCGGUCUUUUAAGUCUGAUGUGAAAGCCCACGGCUCACCCGUGGAGGGUCAUUGGAAACUGGAGGACUUGAGUGCAGAGAGGAGAGUGGAAUUCUACGUGUAGCGGUGAAAUGCGUAGAUAUGUGGAGGAACACCAGUGGCGAAGGCGGCUUCUCUGGUCUUGUACUGACGCUGAGGCCGCGAAAGGGUGGGGGAGCAACAGGAUUAAGAUACCCUGGUAGUCCACGCCGUAACGAUGGAGGGCUAGGUGUUGGGGGGUUCCACCCUCA